UUUAUGGAGAGUUUGAUCCUGGCUCAGGAUGAACGCUGGCGGCGUGCCUAAUACAUGCAAGUCGAGCGAACAGAUAAGGAGCUUGCUCCUUUGACGUUAGCGGCGGACGGGUGAGUAACACGUGGGUAACCUACCUAUAAGACUGGAAUAACUCCGGGAAACCGGGGCUAAUGCCGGAUAACAUGUUGAACCGCAUGGUUCUACAGUGAAAGACGGUCUUGCUGUCACUUAUAGAUGGACCCGCGCCGUAUUAGCUAGUUGGUGGGGUAACGGCCU
rnacentral:rRNA from 1 species